UAGGGAAUCUUCCACAAUGGACGCAAGUCUGAUGGAGCAACGCCGCGUGAGUGAAGAAGGUUUUCGGACCGUAAAGCUCUGUUGUUGGUGAAGAAGGAUAGAGGUAGUAACUGGCCUUUAUUUGACGGUAAUCAACCAGAAAGUCACGGCUAACUACGUGCCAGCAGCCGCGGUAAUACGUAGGUGGCAAGCGUUGUCCGGAUUUAUUGGGCGUAAAGCGAGCGCAGGCGGAAGAAUAAGUCUGAUGUGAAAGCCCUCGGCUUAACCGAGGAAUUGCAUCGGAAACUGUUUUCUUGAGUGCAGAAGAGGAGAGUAGAACUCCAUGUGUAGCGGUGGAAUGCGUAGAUAUAUGGAAGAAUACCAGUGGCGAAGGCGGCUCUCUGGUCUGCAACUGACGCUGAGGCUCGAAAGCAUGGGUAACGAACAGGAUUAGAUACCCUGGUAGUCCAUGCCGUAAACGAUGAGUGCUAAGUGUUGGGAGGCUUCCGCCUCUCAGUGCUGCAGCUAACGCAUUAAGCACUCCGCCUGGGGGAGUACGACCGCAAGGUUGAAAC
rnacentral:rRNA from 1 species